GACGAACGCUGGCGGCGUGCUUAACACAUGCAAGUCGAACGGAAAGGCCCUGCUUUUGUGGGGUGCUCGAGUGGCGAACGGGUGAGUAACACGUGAGUAACCUGCCCUUGACUUUGGGAUAACUUCAGGAAACUGGGGCUAAUACCGGAUAGGAGCUCCUGCUGCAUGGUGGGGGUUGGAAAGUUUCGGCGGUUGGGGAUGGACUCGCGGCUUAUCAGCUUGUUGGUGGGGUAGUGGCUUACCAAGGCUUUGACGGGUAGCCGGCCUGGGAGGGUGACCGGCCACAUUGGGCCUGAGAUACGGCCCAGACUCCUACGGGAGGCAGCAGUGGGGAAUAUUGCACGAUGGGCGGAAGCCUGAUGCAGCAACGCCGCGUGCGGGAUGACGGCCUUCGGGUUGUAAACCGCUUUCGCCUGUGACGAAGCGUGAGUGACGGUAAUGGGUAAAGAAGCACCGGCUAACUACGUG
rnacentral:rRNA from 1 species